rnacentral:rRNA from 1 species
GACGAACGCUGGCGGCGUGCUUAACACAUGCAAGUCGAACGGAAAGGCCCUGCUUUUGUGGGGUGCUCGAGUGGCGAACGGGUGAGUAACACGUGAGUAACCUGCCCUUGACUUUGGGAUAACUUCAGGAAACUGGGGCUAAUACCGGAUAGGAGCUCCUGCUGCAUGGUGGGGGUUGGAAAGUUUCGGCGGUUGGGGAUGGACUCGCGGCUUAUCAGCUUGUUGGUGGGGUAGUGGCUUACCAAGGCUUUGACGGGUAGCCGGCCUGAGAGGGUGACCGGCCACAGUGGGACUGAGAUACGGCCCAGACUCCUACGGGAGGCAGCAGUGGGGAAUAUUGCACAAUGGGCGGAAGCCUGAUGCAGCAACGCCACGUGCGGGAUGACGGCCUUCGGGUUGUAAACCGCUUUCGCCUGUGACGAAGCGUGAGUGACGGUAAUGGGUAAAGAAGCACCGGCUAACUACGUG